GACAGAGGGUGCAAACGUUGUUCGGAAUUACUGGGCGUAAAGCGCGUGUAGGCGGCCCUGCAAGUCGGAUGUGAAAUCCCACGGCUCAACCGUGGAAGUGCAUUCGAAACUGCAGGGCUAGAGUCCUGGAGAGGAAGGUGGAAUGCUUGGUGUAGAGGUGAAAUUCGUAGAUAUCAAGCGGAACACCGGUGGCGAAGGCGGCCUUCUGGACAGUGACUGACGCUGAGGAGCGAAAGCGUGGGUAGCAAACAGG
rnacentral:rRNA from 1 species